rnacentral:lncRNA from 1 species
AUAAUGGGAAUAGGAAUGGGAAAUGGGAAUGGGAAUGGGAAUGGGAGGAGGGAACGGUGGAAGAGGGGAAUCGAUGGAAGAGGGGAGAUGGGAAUGGGAAAUGGGAGGAGGGCACGGUGGAAUGGGAAAUGGGAAUGGGUAUUGCAUGGGAAUGGGAAAUGGGAGAAGGAUACGGUGGAAGAGGGGAAUGAUGGAAGAAGGGAGAUGGGAUUUCAUUGUAUUUAAAUUUUUAAAAAUAAAAAAAU